rnacentral:tRNA from 1 species
GCGGGGAUAGCUCAGUUGGGAGAGCGUCAGAUUGAAGAUUUAAAGGUCACGUGUUCGAUCCACACUCACCGCA